rnacentral:rRNA from 1 species
GGGUUGUGAGGUUAAGCGACUAAGCGUACACGGUGGAUGCCCUGGCAGUCAGAGGCGAUGAAGGACGUGCUAAUCUGCGAUAAGCGUCGGUAAGGUGAUAUGAACCGUUAUAACCGGCGAUUUCCGAAUGGGGAAACCCAGUGUGUUUCGGCACACUAUCAUUAACUGAAUCCAUAGGUUAAUGAGGCGAACCGGGGGAACUGAAACAUCUAAGUACCCCGAGGAAAAGAAAUCAACCGAGAUUCCCCCAGUAGCGGCGAGCGAACGGGGAGGAGCCCAGAGCCUGAAUCAGUGUGUGUGUUAGUGGAAGCGUCUGGAAAGGCGCGCGAUACAGGGUGCCAGCACCGGCCACAACAAUGCACAUAUUGUGAGCUCGAUGAG